AAAUAAGAUUUAUUUAUUUAUUUGAAAGGCAGAGUUACAGAGAAAGAGAAAGUGACAGAAAGAGAGAGAGAUCUUCCAUCUGCUGGUGCACUCUCCAUAUGGUUCCAGCAGCCAGAGCUGGGCCAGUCUGAAGCCAGGAGCCAAGAACUUCGUCUAGGUCUGCCAUGUGGGUGCAGGGUUCCAAGUAUUUGGGCCAUCUUCUGCUGAUUUCCCAAAUGCAUUAGCAGGGAGCUAGAUCGGAAGUGAAGCCCCCAGAACUCGAACCAGUACCCAUAUGGGAUGUCAGUGCUGUAGGUGUCAGCUUAACCCAUUAUGCCACAGUGGUGGUCCCAGUAAAAUCAUAUUUUAUCAUUGAAUUCACAGGAUAUUUUUAGUCUAUGGAAUUAUUUCCAGUCACUAUUAAAAUGUGAGGAAAAAUCAACCUAGAACUUGACCUCUUGGAGCAUCGUACAAUAUUUCAGAUUAUCUACUUUCCACAAUUCCAUUCAAAUACCUUGAUAGGUUAUGUUGUUAGAAUAUAACAUGGAAGACACGUUUUGAAGUGGACAAUUAUCUCAAUCUGUCUUAACCACUCAGUACAUUUUUUCUGAAUGUGGUAAUUUGAUAAACAAAUCAUAGAUUUGUACUUUAUUUGUACUUUAUUUUGUUUUUUCAAAAACUGGAAUGUGUAUAGAAAGUGCUUGUCAACAACCAGGGUCGUGAUGUGAAUAGGGUAGUUAGAAAAGAAGAAAUAUUAAUGUUAAUAAAACAUUGAAAAUUUGCUAUAUAUUUAAAAAUACUUAUAUUGUUUACUAUGUCUUAUUUUUUGUUUUUCUCAUUGUAACCUCAUGAAUUGCACAAGUAUCACUUACAUAAUUUCUUUCAUUAUUUAUGAUAAAUAACAGAUAAAUUUUGUUGGCAGAUGGCUGUAAUGGUGACAAGGAAUGAUGUCUUUUAUAGUGAAUAUUGGAAGAAGUUCCAUAGGAAUAGAAACUAUACUCAGCAUGAACUACCACAGGUUACUGAGUCUGAUUGAUUCCUGCACCAUAAGUCAAACAAUUGGUGAAUGACUAUCUUAAUAACCAACUGAAUUACUGAUGAUCGGCUUGGUUUUAGCAUAUCCUUUAAUUUACAGGGCUGGACCUUAGAACGUAUGUAAGUUCAGUGGUCUGACCACAAAACUGCCGUAACUAUGAAAACUUUUGACUUUUUAUUUUUUAGAUGAUAUAUCCACAAACCCAUGUGACAUGAUGCAAGUUUCUGAAUUACUUUUGUAUCUUCUUUGGAUAAAUCUGUUGUAUUCCUUAUAACUUCAUUUUGCCUUGUUAUGUUCGACUCUUUAGAAGUGGUUUGUGGUUUAUGCAUAUGCUCUAUAAGGUUGGCUGACAUUAAAUUAUCACUUAAGUCAUUAAACCUUCCCUUUAGAUAAAAUAAAAGCUAUGCAUUAUUUUGAAUACA
rnacentral:lncRNA from 1 species